GACGAACGCUGGCGGCGUGCUUAACACAUGCAAGUCGAACGGUGAAGGGACCGGUUUUUGCUGGUUCUGGAUGAGUGGCGAACGGGUGAGUAACACGUGAGUAACCUGCCCCCUUCUUCUGGAUAACCGCAUGAAAGUGUGGCUAAUACGGGAUAUUCUGCGCCUGCUGCAUGGUGGGUGUGGGAAAGAUAUUGUUUCGGUGGGGGAUGGGCUCGCGGCCUAUCAGCUUGUUGGUGGGGUGAUGGCCUACCAAGGCGGUGACGGGUAGCCGGCCUGGGGGGGUGGAGGGACAACGGGGGAAUGAGACAGCGCCCGACUCCCUAAGGGAGGAGUCGGGGGGGAAGUGUGACAAGGGGGGGCAAGCCUGAGGAAGGGCCGCCGGUGGAGGAAGGGGGCCCUUGGGGUUGAAAACCUUUUUCGACAGGAAAGCAGGCCUCUCCUUUUGGUGGGUGGGUUGACGGGGGUUGGAAAAGAAGCCGCGGCUAACAACGU
rnacentral:rRNA from 1 species